rnacentral:rRNA from 1 species
AGCGGCAGGCCUAAUACAUGCAAGUCGAGGGGUAACAGGAAGUGCUUGCACUUCGCUGACGACCGGCGCACGGGUGAGUAUCGCGUAUACAAUCUGCCUCAUACUAGGGAAUAGCCCGAAGAAAUUUGGAUUAAUGCCCUAUAGUAUCUUUUUAAGGCAUCUUAUUAAGAUUAAAGGUCACGGUAUGAGAUGAGUAUGCGUUCUAUUAGCUAGUAGGUGUGGUAACGGCACACCUAGGCUACGAUAGAUAGGGGCCCUGAGAGGGGGAUCCCCCACACUGGUACUGAGACACGGACCAGACUCCUACGGGAGGCAGCAGUAAGGAAUAUUGGUCAAUGGACGAAAGUCUGAACCAGCCAUGCCGCGUGCAGGAUGACUGCCCUAUGGGUUGUAAACUGCUUUUAUAUAGGAAGAAAAACUUUCUCGUGAGAAAGCUUGACGGUACUAUAAGAAUAAGGAUCGGCUAACUCCGUGCCAGCAGCCGCGGUAAUACGGAGGAUCCAAGCGUUAUCCGGAAUCAUUGGGUUUAAAGGGUCCGUAGGUGGACAAAUAAGUCAGAGGUGAAAUCCUGCAGCUCAACUGUAGAACUGCCUUUGAUACUGUUUGUCUUGAGUUAUUAUGAAGUGGUUAGAAUGUGUAGUGUAGCGGUGAAAUGCAUAGAUAUUACACAGAAUACCGAUUGCGAAGGCAGAUCACUAAUAAUUAACUGACACUGAUGGACGAAAGCGUGGGUAGCGAACAGGAUUAGAUACCCUGGUAGUCCACGCCGUAAACGAUGGUCACUAGCUGUUUGGACUUCGGUCUGAGUGGCUAAGCGAAAGUGAUAAGUGACCCACCUGGGGAGUACGU